rnacentral:lncRNA from 1 species
GUGGCGAUGGCAGGCGUCCUUGAGUUCCGUCGCCUCUUCGGGACUCCGCUGGGAAACGUUAGGGAGCCGGUUGUCAGGCCUUUCGCUCCUGGAGCGAAAAUCGGAGUGGGCAAGGGAUGGAACCCUUGCCACAGCAGCAACCUGAGCAACGGCAGUGACCACACUGGAUCCUUAACCCACUGUGCCACCAGUGAACUCCUCAUUCAUAAUUUUCUGAGGCCUGGAAUCCCUUCAAAGAGCUGCCACCCCAAAGAAGCUCUUGGCUGGCACAUGCCUAAUCUCUGAUUAAAUCCAGUCAUGGAAACAGAUGAAAAGAAGAGGCAUUCCUGGACAUUGGAAUAUCUGUGGCAAAUGUUGGUGUCCCUUAUCGACAUGCCCAGGCAUUUUGAGCAUUUUCCAAAUCCACAACAGUGCCAGCGACUUCUUACUCUUUUUUGUGGGGGAGCAAGGAGCCAGCAGGCCAUGCAAACCAGAUGAAGCCAACCGAGACUGCACCCUUAGAAAAGCCUGCUGGGAAGGUAGGCCCUUGGCUGGUGUCUGGGAACUUGGAUGUCAGGAGCACUCCUAUGAAUUCCAGAAUUGAUGAGAAUGACCAUCUGGGCCUAAACUACUCACAUACACAAUGGGGCUUAUGCUGAACACCUGUUUCCUAGUGAGAGUAUGGAAGUUUGCUCUGUGCUGGGCAGAAGGUACCUACGUGACCAGCCCUCAAUAAAACGCUUGCGUCUCUAAGGAGCUUCCCUGGUUAACAAUCUUUCACAUGUGCUGCCACAACUUGUCGCUGGAGGAAUUAAGUGCAUCCUCUGUGACCUCACGAGAGGACUCUUCUUGGAAGCUGGAGCUUACUUUCCUGUGAACAUCGCCCCCGUGCCUUUCCCUUUGCGCUGUGGCUUUGUACCCUCCAGCUGUAAUGAGUCAUAGCCAUGAGUACAGCUGUAUGCUGAAUCCUGUAAGUCCCCCUUACUGGAUUACAAGAAUCAUCAAAGCUGGGGGUGGUCUUGGGGACCCCCUACACAAGUCUAUUCUUUUAUGGGAGGGUAGCAUUAGUUUAUCAUAAAAGAGAGACAUGGAAAUUAUUCACGAGAUGAAAUAUCUCAGAACGUCAGUGGAAUGGGCAGCUUCACUGAUGCUGUUUUGGCAGUGAUUUAUUGCAGUCUACAUACUUUUCAAGAAUGCCACCAUCUCUAAAAAAUUAAUCCUUUUUGUCUAGAACUACUUUGGUGUCUCCAUAUUCUGGGAAAAUAACUUACAUGCUACCUGGUUGAAUCUCUCCACUCUGUCCCUUAGAGCCCAAUUCCACAGCUACUACCUUUGCUUGGAAUACUUUUCCUUGAGAUGUUUCUGGAAGCAUAA